UCGUCAGUUUCUCAACAGUCAGACUUUUUCGAGGAGUCUUCCCCCUUCUCCAGAUGGCACCCAGUCCAAAGGACUUGAAAAUAAGAAUGUUUCGAGAUUGGCCCCGGGUGGCUAAGCUACCGUCGCAGAAAUCAAGUCACCUGUGGCAGCGCUGGCCGUGCCCGCUGCGCGAGGGGCCGGCUGGGGAUUACGCACCUCGCAGCCUGGAGCCGAGCGGGUUACAUGGCCUCGCGCUCCCAGCGGCUGGAGUCAGCCCGAGUCCGUCUCUCGGCCCGGCUGCCGCCACCGCCGCUCUCAUUGAGGCGCGUUCAGAAGCUGCUGCUGCUGCUGCCGCCGCGGCCGCCGAAGACGCUGCUCCAUAGUCUCACCCGCCGCAGGUCGUUCCCGCCUCCCGGCACUGGCUCCUCCUCGACCGCUUCGCCCGGAGGCGCGGGGCGCGCGCCCAGACCCGCACCGCGAGCGCAGCCGCGACUCCCGAGGAGCGAAGACGUCCUUUAAGACGUUCGUCUGUCCGGAGUAGCGAAGGCCGGGCGGCUGGUUAAUUGCAGCCUUUAGGUUUGGCCGCAAACCACACUCCACCCUCUCUCCCUGCUCCCUCCUCGGGGGAGGAAAGCCAGUUUAAAGAGGCAGCUUGGCCGCAACCAAACCCUUGUAGGGCGGCUGCAAGUCGUCUUGUUCCCUGUUUGGUCGGCUCCUCUGUCAAUCAGCCGACUGCCAUUUGUGGGGCCGGGGAGGGAGCUGUCCAGUGCUGAACCCGAGGCGGCCCGCGGGCGGCGGGGGCGCGGGAGGCAGCCUGCCGAGUCCUCGCACCCACUCGCGUUCCGGAUGACUCGGAAACCUGCGUGGGUGGCGUAGGGUGGGCGGCAGAGGGGGGAGAAGCAGAGAUUCGGUGGCUCAGAGCGAAGGAAACUUGGACGUACUGAGGGGGAGGGUGUUGGCGUCUUGCAUGCUUAGUUAAAUCAGCCUUUUGCCUGGAAAAGAGGGAGAAGGGAGUAGUUUUCAUUUCUAGGUGAAAUUAGACAGAAGGGACAUAGGAUGGAGACGUGUCCUCCUGAGCAUCUGCUCAUUUUAGGCAAAUUAUCAAAUCAUCUUUCUUGUUGUCAGUUAAAGAAAUGAUUAAAACAUACUUGUCUAGGCUCAUCUUAGCUGAGGGAGUAAUGGAGAAAUCUACCAGCUGUGCUUUAAGGAGAGAAAAAAAAGUCAUAUUUAAGGAAUCUCUGCUUGGGGGCCAGAAUGGAGGGGAACGUGUAAAAAUGUAUGCAAGUAAAGAUGUGUAAGGGAGAGAGCAAGGGGGAGGACUCAUGAGCUCUGGGAGAAUGAGAAGGAGCCUGUGUUGAGUGAGAAGGGAAAUCAUCCUGACUGGGAGUUCCUGGAAUUGAGAGAUAAGAACUAAGACUUCUAUUUAGCUAAAGGUUGGGAUAUCCCAGCAGAAGAAAGAAGAACUGAGCAAGUAUGCCAAGUCCCCCAAAUUAUUGGUAAAUUUCUUAACACAAUCUAAUUGAUGUUUUGACGCUUAUUAGAGAAUUUAAGUGUCUUCUGACACUCCAAAAGUAGACUGGUACCAGAAAAGUAGUGUUUUGCACAGCUAGCUCCACUUUCCAUAUGCACCUCUAUUUUCAAAUUCCCCAAGAAAGACACAAAUAGAAAAUAUCCAACUUACUUUAAUUCCCAACUAACAAAAAUGUCCCUCAUGGCAUUCUAAGCAGGCACUGCUUAGAUUCACUGUACUAUUUCAUGUCAUCCUUCCUAUUGAGAAAAUACUUAAGGACUGGAAUGUAAGCUCCAAAAGAGCAAAAAUCUUUGUCUGCAUUGGUCACUGAGGUACCUUGAGCACCCAGAACACUACCUGGCACAUAGUAGGCUCUGGCUAAAUAGUUGCUAAAUUAGUGAAUGAAUGGGAAGAUCAUGAUGAUGAAGCUAACUUAAAAAUCAAUCUCCUCACCCAAGAAGAGAAGUCUGCCUGACACACCAGUGAUGAGGGUUUUUGGAAGAAGACACAGCAACCAGUUUUUCAAACCGCAGUGGUUGGUCUCCAAAUGAGUUUUUAUAGUUAUGCAAAGAGUGGUUAUUAGAUUUAUAUUUACUUACAAGUAGAUUUCAUGUUCAUUUCCGACUUUUUGUUUAAAUUUUUCUUUGCAAUGUAUGCUCCUAUGCUAAGUAAAGGUCAUCCCGGUUUAGUGCUCUGCCACAGUAUGGGUGGCAAUAAUAACAGAAAGAGUUUCUGCUUAUUUAAUGUAUCAAAGUAUAAACUAUGGUAUUCCAUUUACUUAACCAUCUAAAGUCCGAAGUAUAAUUUCCUCAUUCAUUGAUCCUUUUAGAAAACCUAUAUAACUUAUUAACAAUUCUUUAAAAUCCUCUAGUAUCUAACUUAAAAGAAGACAUAAUUGUAUUCGUAGAUCCUUCUGUAAGUAAUCAAAUGAACUAAGCACAAUCAAAAGACCUGGAUUCUGGUUCUAGCUUUAUUUUAAAGGAAGAUAUAUGACCACUGGCAAGACAUUUAAAAUUUCUGUGUCUUGGGACACAAACUGUGUGUGGGCCUCGGGAUUUCACAUUGAGGUUGUACGGGGGAGGCACCUGAGCUAGUCUCCCAGGGCACCAAUCCUUUCCCAAGUGCAUAUCUAAUGAGAAAGAUGCAGAAUAUGAGAGACUCUUGCAAUUAUAGUAUUCCCUUCAAUGGAUCCCCUUCAACCUACAUUGCCAAACAGCUGGGAUGAGCUAGUUGGAUCUAGAACAGCACUGCCCAAUAGAAAUACAAUGUGAACCAGAAGUAGGAUCCUUAUAAAUAAUUUCAAAUGUUCAAAUAGCAUAUUAAGAUAGUAAAAAGAAAAAGACUGAAAUUAAUUUUAAUAGUAAAUUUUAUGUAACCCAAUAUAUCCAAAUUUUUAUCAUUUCAAUAAGUAAACAAUGUAAAAGUAUUAAUGAUAUAUUUUACACUUUUUACACUAAGUCUUCAAAAUCUGAUUUGUAUUUUACACUCACAGCACAAGGCACUUCACACUAGCCACAUUUCAAGUGCUGACUAGCCACCCGUGGCCAGAGGCUACCCUAGAGUACAAGCUCUAGAAGACAGUCCAUUGCGGUCCAGAGUGCUAAGAAAUCUAGGUCCAUGCAA
rnacentral:lncRNA from 1 species